rnacentral:tRNA from 1 species
UGAGUUGUAGCUCAGUGGUAGAGAUCUUGCCUUCCAUGCGUGAGGCCCUGGGUUCAGUCCCCAGCACCACAU